rfam:Habropoda laboriosa contig17324, whole genome shotgun sequence.
AAAUCAGCUCUCUUUAGAGCUACCAUAAUUUUGCAAAAACUAAAAGU